AGCGAACGCUGGCGGCAGGCCUAACACAUGCAAGUCGAACGAUCCUUCGGGAUAGUGGCGGACGGGUGAGUAACACGUGGGAACGUGCCCUUUGGUUCGGAACAACUCAGGGAAACUUGAGCUAAUACCGAAUGUGCCCUUCGGGGGAAAGAUUUAUCGCCAUUGGAGCGGCCCGCGUCUGAUUAGCUAGUUGGUGAGGUAAUGGCUCACCAAGGCGACGAUCAGUAGCUGGUCUGAGAGGAUGAUCAGCCACACUGGGACUGAGACACGGCCCAGACUCCUACGGGAGGCAGCAGUGGGGAAUCUUGCGCAAUGGGCGAAGGCCUGACGCAGCCAUGCCGCGUGAAUGAUGAAGGUCUUAGGAUUGUAAAACUCUUUCACCGGGGACGAUAAUGACGGUACCCGGAGAAGAAGCCCCGGCUAACUUCGUGCCAGCCGCCGCAGUAAGAC
rnacentral:rRNA from 1 species